AGUCGAUGGAGGAUGCGUUGAUCUAUUGGUUCGUGUGUAUUAGCUCUUGUGUCGGCUGAGGUCAAGUGAUCUCCCUUUUUUCUUCAAAUGCCUUCGCCCCGCCUCCCUCGCAAAACUAGCGCUAUGGGGGUAGCCUAUAAAUAGGCUACUACAGUAGUAACAAAAGAAUAGAACUUCCUUGAAGCGUGAUGACCGGAUGGUUAAACUCACUGGAAUAUUAUGUUGUUUCAAUCCGAGGCUUCCUGUGCACAUUGGGAAGAGUCUAAACGGGAUCAUUGGCAAAAGGCUACCGUCUCCAGGUGUCAUACGCGCAGAUAGAGGAGAACUCUAGCCAUCCGUCAUACCCAGCUGAUGGGUAUGUGUGAAUGUGUUAGUGUAGAUGUGUCAGGCCUUGCAGUGCUGAAGCAGCACAGAAUGGUUUGUGGGUAAUACAGGGAUACAGGCUGUACUGUGCUGUUGCAGUAACGCCUGGAGAAACAUGGAAAAACGUUUUGGAAGAGUGAAAGCAAAACACAAAAAGUUCCACCUGUUAGGCUAUGUCCUGGAGGGCCACGGUGUAUGCAGGCUUUUGUUACAACCCAGCUCUAACACACCUGAUUCAACUAAUUGUGGUUUAAGACCACAAUCAAUUCAAUCAGGUGUGCCGGAGCACAAGCCUGCAUACACCAUGGCCCUCCAGGACCAGAGUUUCCCAACCUGUGCUUACACCUAUCCUAUCCUCUCAGACCUAUGAUAAGUGUCUAAGGCAAGGGCUUGAGAGUUCAGCCUGGGUACAAGAGAGGAUGGCUGUGGUGUUAUGUACAUGUCUGUGACAACGUGAGCGAAGCCUGGACAUCCGAGGCUUGUGACCGCCAUUCUGUGACUGGCUGCCUUGCUGUAGCAGCACGUAAAUAUUGGAGUUCACCACUGCUGAAGCCUCCAGUAUUGACGGUGCUGUUGAAGCAAAGCAUUGCCGUUCGACAUCAGUCUAUGGGCUACCUGGUUGAAUAAAACAAAGAAAAUUUUCAUGUUUUAUUUGUGUUCUUGAUCAAAUACAUUCUCAAUUCUAUUUCAAUUUAGAGAAUUGUACUUUUGGAAAUAUACUUUAGGACACAGGAAAUUGAUGUCAAAUAAAAUGUACUGUAUACAUUGAGACUAAUGGUGAGGUGAAGCAUAUUGACAUUAUGGCCCUCAACAUUAUUAUCCUUUGUCGCCAUCUGCUGGUCAAUCCAGUCUGACUCGCAGAGAAUGGAUCCAUCUCAAUAGUCUGAAGUCCACUGAUAUUACAGAACUGGACAUGGAAAGGGAACCACUUCAGACUUUUGAGAUGCACCCUGACACUGAGUUCACUUUUUCUUUCCUUCACCAAGCUGGCUCUGUGUGUCCUGUCUUCUGAGAUGUUCUGCCCUGGGGGUUUCACUCAGUACAACGAUCUGGGUAUUUCUGCUCCUUUCAAACAUGUAGCAUUCAGUCUUCUCCUCUUGGGAAACUGUCCUUGUGUCGAUCAGGCGAAACCCAUCCUUCAGAAGGGUGUCUACCAGCAGGCCCAGGACGUUGGUGCUGUUGAGAAGCUUUCUGUCAUCCGGCUCAAUAGUUACAAACCUGUAAAAGUAAAACAAUUCAAGUUUGGUCUUUAAAAAUUGUGCAUAAUAUAGUUAUUUGAAUAAACAUACAAGAGUUAUUAAGGAUCCAGUGUUUCCCCUAACAUUACACAGGCGAGUGCCUAUACAGUAGGCAGCUACCUGCUCCCCAUGUCCCCCGGACUUCUCACUUCCCCCCUGCUGCUCCCCCAAUGGACGGUCCCUCAGGGACAUUCUACCUGCCCCAAUGGACCUUUACCUUGCCCCCACCCCCUAAUGGACAUGUAUUAGUGUUACAGUUGUAAAUAUGUAUAUAUUAUAAUUAUUAUUUGUAUUUUUUCAUUCACUUAUCUUUUUGACCUGCACUGUUGGAGCUCGGAGCUUAAGAAUUUCACUGUACCCUGCAAUUACAUCUGCAACUCAGGGCAUGUGACUAAUAAACUGAUCAUACAAUAUGGAGCCCUUGAGGAAUUGGCCAAUGGGAGACACUGAGAUGGGUAUAAUAGCCUACGGGUGAGUGUAACUUCCCCUCACCUGGCAGAGAAGUCAUCCCUGGCUAGUUGGUCAGUCCCACAGUGGAACACCAUGUCGUGGUGAGAGGGUCUCUGGACCGGUACAGGAUGAGGUGUGCUGGAGUUCUGAGGCAGGUGUGGGAAAUUCCCAUUCAGAUUUGGAUGUUCCACAAAAAUGGAUAUCCUUCUCGCCAAAGCCUCCAGAGUUUUGUUGUUGGAGCAGAAUAUUUGGAAGAAUCCGUGAGUUUCCUGGACAGAGAAGCGCAACUCUAGAACCUCAACUCUGGAUCGAUGGCUGUUCCUCUCAACCCAAAGUGCCAAAGGAUGCAAACCAUAGAAGUGUGCUUCUUGAGCCAAGCCAUUGUAGUCAGAGAAUUCUGCUGGCAAGGUCAUUUGACCUGUCCUCAUAUAAUCCAGGAUGUAUUUAAAGAAAGUCCCAUCUCUAUCUACAAAAACUUGUCCACUGAUAACUUUAAAAUCUGCGUCUUUGCCAUCCAGGAUCCUAGCUAUUCUUGAGUCUUGGUGUCUUCUGAGAGUUGACAGAGUAGUGGUGAAUGUUUGACCUCCAAUAUUGAAUGUUAUUAAGUCCUGGGCACUCAUGUUUAGAUGACUGACAGUUUAAAUCAUUGCAGACAAGAAUGGGUCUAAGGAGAGGAGUGGUAUUCAGUGAACAUAUCCUGGCAACACCAACCGUAAACAAAACAAAUUUCAUGCUAGGUGAGUGCAGUCACAUAACUUGUUGGAGAGGCUGGUGACAGUACAGAACGUUACCACUAGGGGCUAAUAUGAGCCACACAUUGAAAUUGAUCAUUGAGCCCCAAUGGAGUAAAUCGAGUAAUAAAACACAGGGGGGGGGCUCGUGGUUAUGGCUGGAGCGGAAAAGUAUCAAAUACAUGGUUACCAUGUGUUUGAUGCCAUUCAAUUCAUUCCAUUCCAGCCAUAAUUAUGAGCUGUGCUCCCCCCAGCAACCUCAAGUGGUACUAAAGUUACUAAAUGGAGUACAGAGAGGUUGGCCCCCCCGGAUGGUUGGUUUGGCUCCUGACAGUAGACAUUGGUCUAAAGUUACAUCUACAUUCAACAUGGGAUUAGCAUUAUUCAUUUUUUGUUGCAUUGUUUUUUAUGUUUUAGCUAUGUGUCUGUUUUAUUCAGACUACACUCCUGUCUGUUUAGUUCAAUAAAUGACAGUGAGUGGCACUUAAUCUGCACUAAUCUGAAAAAGAAUAGGAUAGGUAAUAUGUGAGCAUAUGUUUAUGUAGUUUCCUCAAAUUCAAUGUGAUAAUGUUUAUUUAGUUGUAGGUAAUACAUUAAAGCAAUAAUAAACAACAAACUGUAGUAGUGA